CGGAGCGUAGCUCAGCCUGGUAGAGCGCCAGCUUUGGGAGCUGGAUGUCGAGAGUUCGAAUCCCUCCGCUCCGA
rnacentral:tRNA from 1 species